rfam:Myotis brandtii contig249820, whole genome shotgun sequence.
GCCAGUGUGGCUCAGUGGAUAGAGCAUCAACCUGCAGACUGAAGGGCCCUGGGUUCGAUUCCCGGUCAAGGGCA